rnacentral:rRNA from 1 species
UAAUACAGAGGUGGCAAGCGUUGUUCGGAAUUACUGGGCGUAAAGGGCGCGUAGGCGGUUUCGUAAGUCCCGUGUGAAAGCCCCCGGCUCAACUGGGGAAUUGCACGGGAAACUGCGAGGCUUGAGUUCGGGAGAGGGAAGCGGAAUUCCGGGUGUAGCGGUGAAAUGCGUAGAUAUCCGGAGGAACACCGGUGGCGAAGGCGGCUUCCUGGACCGACACUGACGCUGAGGCGCGAAAGCUAGGGGAGCAAACGGGA